rnacentral:rRNA from 1 species
ACCCGAAACCGACACAGGUGGUCAGGUAGAGAAUACUCAGGCGCUUGAGAGAACUCGGGUGAAGGAACUAGGCAAAAUGGUGCCGUAACUUCGGGAGAAGGCACGCUGAUGUUAAUUGAAGUCCCAUGCGGAUGGAGGUGAAAUCAGUCGAAGAUACCAGCUGGCUGCAACUGUUUAAUAAAAACACAGCACUGUGCAAACACGAAAGUGGACGUAUACGGUGUGACGCCUGCCCGGUGCUGGAAGGUUAAUUGAUGGGGUUAUGCGUAAGCAGAAGCUCCUGAUCGAAGCCCCAGUAAACGGCGGCCGUAACUAUAACGGUCCUAAGGUAGCGAAAUUCCUUGUCGGGUAAGUUCCGACCUGCACGAAUGGCGUAAUGAUGGCCAGGCUGUCUCCAC